GACUGAACGACCAAUGUGGGGAA
rnacentral:misc_RNA from 1 species